UACGUAGGGUGCAAGCGUUGCCCGGAUUUAUUGGGCGUAAAGAGCUCGUAGGCGGUUUGUUGCGUCGGCCGUGAAAACCUGCAGCUUAACUGUGGGCUUGCGGUCGAUACGGGCAGACUUGAGUUCGGUAGGGGAGACUGGAAUUCCUGGUGUAGCGGUGAAAUGCGCAGAUAUCAGGAGGAACACCGGUGGCGAAGGCGGGUCUCUGGGCCGAUACUGACGCUGAGGAGCGAAAGCGUGGGGAGUGAACAGG
rnacentral:rRNA from 1 species